CCUUCCUGCAGGCAGAAAAUGUUUUUCUCGCAGUCUACGCUUUUGAGGAAACUGAGGCACAGAGCAGCUAAGGAAUUUACUCGCGAUCACAGGACUUGUCUUAGGACAAAACAGGAACGAAAGAUUAAGGCCCUGGCAUCUCUGAGCUGGAAUCAGGGAUCAACAAGGCAAGCCCUGACAACAAGAAGUUCACCCCGUGGACACAGAUCACAGCACACACAGCACACCACAGCCCACCUUGCUAAACCCUGUGCAGAUGCUCAGAGAGUAAAAGGAGAGGAGCUGAGUGAAAUCAGAGAGCAAGUUCCAGCAUGUGUGGUGACAGAAGGGUUGUGAAGAACUAGAAAUGCACCAGGAGGAACAGGACACACAAAAACGAGAUGGUGUUUGCCUCUGGAGAAGGAAUCAGGGGUGAGAAGAUGAAUGAUGAUUUUACCCUUUGGAAUUGUGUUUUGAAAUCUGCAAACUACCGGCAGCAAGCCCAGAUCAAGAUGGGGCAUGAUAUGGUGUAGGAGGAAUAUGGGAUUUCUAGCCACAGAACUAGGCUCAAGCCUGUCACUGAAUGUCAUCUCUGGCAAGGCUUCAGGUCCCUCAUCUGCAGACUGGAUAUGCACAGAAUUAACUGAGAAAGCCAAAAGGUCUAGUGUGCUCUAGCUACGUGUGUUCUGACAGAGCUCUGGGGACCCUGAGCAGGAUUUCUCAGAAGGCCUCUAAGAACAAGGAUCAUACGCGUUAUCAUUCAUUCGAAUUACUGCUAUGUGCCGGCAUUCAUCAAGGUACUGGGGGCAACAAUGGAGCUUGUUCUGACAUCUUGUUUAUCUCUGGGUCUUAAGCUUACCACAUAGGGCCAGGCACACAGUGUGUGCUCAGUAGAUGCUAAAUGAAGCAAUUGGGGAGGACUAGAAUCUGUCAGAAGAAACUCGCAAGAAGCCAUGCUCUGCUACUCCCUAGCUUUGUGGCUUUGGCAUCGUUGGAUGCCUCUGCAUCAGUGGCUGCAUCUGCCUGAUGGGGUAGGAAUUCAUUAGAACACCAGUGGAGCAGCUGAAAUUGGGAAACAUCACCCUAACAGUACUUGUACCCUAACAGUAUUUGUCUUAUGAUUUAACAUAUUCUCAUGCUUCCCAUGUUACUUGAUUAGACUUCCACAGUAAAGUAGAAAGUUUGAAAGAAGUUCAUUCAUCAAUACAAAUGAGUAUUGUCCACAGACUUGCAAGUUAAUUCCAUCUAUGGAAGAACGGUUAUUUCAUCCCUCCCACCCCCAUGGAAAAAUCCAGUUUUGUAUCUGUGAAUUUAUCUGUCUUGAUGGAGCUGUGUAUAUUGAAUUCUCCUUUGAACUGAUUGUAACUUCUUCCUGGUUCUCCCCUUAAUUAAAGAGUUCAAUAAAAUC